AGCAGUAGCCGCGGGAAUACGAAGGGUGCAAGCGUUACUCGGAAUUACUGGGCGUAAAGCGUGCGUAGGUGGUGGGUUAAGUCCGUUGUGAAAGCCCUGGGCUCAACCUGGGAAUUGCAGUGGAUACUGGGUCACUAGAGUGUGGUAGAGGAUAGUGGAAUUUCCGGUGUAGCAGUGAAAUGCGUAGAGAUCGGAAGGAACAUCUGUGGCGAAGGCGACUAUCUGGGCCAACACUGACACUGAGGCACGAAAGCGUGGGGAGCAAACAGGAUUAGAUACCCGCGUAGUCCCUGUCUCUUAUAC
rnacentral:rRNA from 1 species